UGGGAACCUUCCCUAUGGUUCGGAAUAGCUCAGGAAAACUUGAGGUAAUACCGGAUAAGCCCUUCGGGGAAAGAUUUAUCGCCAUUGGAUGGGCCCGCGUCGGAUUAGCCAGUUGGUGGGGUAAAGGCCUACCAAGGCGACGAUCGUUAGCUGGUCUGAGAGGAUGAUCAGCCACACUGGGACUGAGACACGGCCCAGACUCCCACGGGAGGCAG
rnacentral:rRNA from 1 species